UCUUGCUAGCAGUUGAGCCAAAUCUGAGGU
rnacentral:piRNA from 1 species